rnacentral:rRNA from 1 species
UACGUAGGGUGCGAGCGUUAAUCGGAAUUACUGGGCGUAAAGCGUGCGCAGGCGGUUUUGCAAGCCAGAUGUGAAAGCCCCGGGCUCAACCUGGGAAUGGCAUUUGGGACUGCAAGGCUGGAGUUUGGCAGAGGAGACUGGAAUUCCUGGUGUAGCAGUGAAAUGCGUAGAUAUCAGGAGGAAUACCGAUGGCGAAGGCAGGUCUCUGGGCUAUAACUGACGCUCAUGCACGAAAGCGUGGGGAGCGAACAGG